rnacentral:rRNA from 1 species
GUGGGGAAUAUUGCGCAAUGGGCGGAAGCCUGACGCAGCGACGCCGCGUGAGGGAUGAAGGCCUUCGGGUUGUAAACCUCUUUCAGCAGGGACGAAGCGAGAGUGACGGUACCUGCAGAAGAAGCACCGGCCAACUACGUGCCAGCAGCCGCGGUAAUACGUAGGGUGCAAGCGUUGUCCGGAAUUAUUGGGCGUAAAGAGCUCGUAGGCGGUCUGUCGCGUCGGCUGUGAAAACUCGGGGCUCAACCCCGAGCCUGCAGUCGAUACGGGCAGACUAGAGUGCUGUAGGGGAGACUGGAAUUCCUGGUGUAGCGGUGAAAUGCGCAGAUAUCAGGAGGAACACCGGUGGCGAAGGCGGGUCUCUGGGCAGUAACUGACGCUGAGGAGCGAAAGCGUGGGGAGCGAACAGGAUUAGAAACCCUAGUAGUCC